UACGUAGGUGGCAAGCGUUAUCCGGAUUUAUUGGGCGUAAAGGGCGUGUAGGCGGGAAUGCAAGUCAGAUGUGAAAACUCAGGGCUCAACCCUGAGCCUGCAUUUGAAACUGUAUUUCUUGAGUGCUGGAGAGGCAAUCGGAAUUCCGUGUGUAGCGGUGAAAUGCGUAGAUAUACGGAGGAACACCAGUGGCGAAGGCGGAUUGCUGGACAGUAACUGACGCUGAGGCGCGAAAGCGUGGGGAGCAAACAGG
rnacentral:rRNA from 1 species